rnacentral:rRNA from 1 species
ACAGAGGGGGCAAGCGUUAUUCGGAAUUAUUGGGCGUAAAGGGCGCGUAGGCGGUGAUUUAAGUGAGAUGUGCAAUCCCCGGGCUUAACCUGGGAACUGCAUCUCAGAUUGGGUCGCUUGAGUGCUGGAGAGGGUGGUGGAAUUCCACGUGUUGCGGUGGAUUGUGUAGAGAUGUGGAGGAACUAUAGUGGUGACGUCAGCAUCCUGGACGGUAACUGAAGCUGAGGCGGGAAAGUGUGUGGAGAAAACAG